UACGAAGGGGGGCUAGCGUUGCUCGGAAUCACUGGGCGUAAAGCGCACGUAGGCGGAUUGUUAAGUCAGGGGUGAAAUCCUGGAGCUCAACUCCAGAACUGCCUUUGAUACUGAGGAUCUUGAGUUCGGGAGAGGUGAGUGGAACUGCGAGUGUAGAGGUGAAAUUCGUAGAUAUUCGCAAGAACACCAGUGGCGAAGGCGGCUCACUGGCCCGAUACUGACGCUGAGGCACGAAAGCGUGGGGAGCAACAGG
rnacentral:rRNA from 1 species